CUAGUAAGCUAUUUCCAAGCUUCCUAAUUAAUUGUCUAAAUUGAACAGUAAUUGUUUCUAAUCGCCUUAUGUGUUAUUUUUCUUUAAAGCUGCUUGAUGAUAUUGGAUUAGUAGAGGAAGUUCAGAAGGAAUUUUCCAGUUUGAGCAGCUCAGGUCUGUGUUUAAAUAGCUGACCAGACUGGAUUUUUCAGCAGGAACCUGAAUUGAGAACGCUUGAACCGAAACUACAAUGAUAACACUUGACACGCCCACAAGUGACAGAAUAAACCGGUCAAAUGAGACCAACAACUUCAGAUCUUCCGAGUGUUUACGAGUUCAUCGGAUUAAUGUUUUGUGCAAGGAAAUAUCAAUUCUACGCAAGUCUACAUUAACAUUUGAACUACCUAUAGGCAUCAAAGGAAUAAGCGAUCUCCAGUCAGAAUGGACCCCAAGAAGAAUAAAGUCUUUUCCAAACUGCGAGAAAAAACCAAGCCCCUGUUUAAUGUGAAGAUGGGGAAGAAAGCCAAGAAGACUCCCCUGCGAUACAGAAGGAGCAUUUCAGUACCAGACUUGUUAAGUGAUCGAUCCAUGCAGUCUCUUCUAGACACUACUGAUCGGUCUUUAUCCCCAGACUCGUUUGUUGGGCCAGUUCAUUCAUUUGUUUCUGAUGAAACACAGUGUGAAACCUCCAGCCUAACUGAAAGUCUCACUGUUACAGACACAACAUUAUCUGCAAAGUGCACUGACCCAUACACUGUCCCAGACAGCCCAUUUUCAAAAAAGGUCCUGGGCCAACCCAAUGCUACAGACACCUCUCUGGAUCAAGUUAUUACCCCAUACACACCAUCCUCAGCCAAGGUCCCAGACAACUUGUUACUUCCAAACACACCACCAGAUAAACGGAUGGAGGACAGGGAAAGAAACACCACAUGGUACAUAGAAGACAGUGAGUCAGCUUGUAGCACACCAUCUGAAGACCGGUCCUUCAUCUUCUGGUCUCCUGAGCAUGACCUGACAGGGUUAGAGCCUGUUACACCACAGUCCACAGAGAUGUUUAUUAUCGGCUCAGCUGAGGACAAGAAUGAAGCUUCCAAUGAGACCAACGACUAUGACACCAAUUUCUCAGGAAAAGAAACGAAAACUACUGCAUCAGGUCAGAAGCUCCAUUAUCUCCUCACCAUCAACUUAAAGGAGGGAAGGAACCUGCCCAUCAAAGAUCGCUGUGGUACCAGUGACCCGUAUGUCAAAUUCAGAAUAGAUGGCAAGACAGUCUACAAAAGCAAGGUUGUGUACAAGAACCUUAAUCCUACAUGGAACGAGUGUUUCUCCAUCCUCAUCAGGGACCUGGAGCAGAAUGUUUAUGUUAAGGUGUACGACCGGGAUCUGAGAUCUCGGGACUUCAUGGGUUCAAGCGUGAUCACGCUCAGUAACUUGGAGUUGGACAAAACAUCUGAGAUGAUCCUACAUUUGAAAGACCCUGGCAGUCUGGAAGAGUACAUGGGAGUAAUAAUCUUAGACGCCUGCGUGUCCAUCUGUGAGGGGCCCACCAAACGAAAUAAAUGGCCACAUAGGAGGAAAGGAAGCUUCAAUAAGGGUCAGCUCCGAGCGGCUGCCAUGCAGAAAAGCCAAGUGUGGAGUGGCGUAUACACUGUGGUGCUUGUGGAGGGGCAGGACCUGCCUGAAGGUGGCCAAGGAGACGUCUUUGUCCGCUUCAAACUGGGGGAGCAGAGGUUCCGAAGCAAAAAUCUGUGCAUUAAGACCAAUCCACAGUGGAGGGAGAAGUUCGAAUUCAACCGUUUCGAGGAUGGCCAACCAGAUGUGCUGCUGGUUGAGCUCUACUGCAAGAAGGGCAGAAAGUGUGAGGAAUGCUGGGGAAUGAAUGAACUUGACCUCUCACAGCUGCCAGCCAAUUCAACACAGACAUACAACGUGAUUACAAGCAAAGGGCGGUUGGUGUUUCUGGUCACACAGAACCCCUGUUCUGGAGUCUCCAUCUCUGACCUGGGCUCCACAUCCUUAGACAAUCCAUGUACCAAUGAAAGCAUCCUGAAGAAAUAUAGUCUGAAGAAAACACUGGAUAAUCUGAAGGAUGUUGGCUACCUCCAGGUCAAGGUUUUACGGGCUGCAGACCUUUCAUCUACAGAUCUGAAUGGUAAGAGUGACCCAUUUUGUGUGCUGGAACUUGGGAACAGCAAGCUGCAAACUCAAACCAUCCAUAAGACCCUCAAUCCAGAAUGGAGAACAGCCUUUACAUUUCCAAUUAAGGACAUCCAUGAUGUCCUAAUGCUGACCGUUUUUGGUGAAGAUGGAGACAAAGCACCAGACUUUCUGGGGAAAGUUGCUAUUCCUUUGCUUACUAUUUCUAAUGGACAACAAAUAACCAGUCUUUUGAAAAAGGACAAUUUGGAAGACAUGUCGAAAGGAAGCAUUACACUGGAAAUGAACGUUUUGUACAACCCAGUCAGAGCUGCCAUUCGAACCUUCUAUCCCAAAGAAACAAAGCUUGAGGAGGACAACCCAAAGUUCAAUAAAAAGCUGUUAGCACGCAACAUUUACCGUGUGAGGAAGAUCAGCAUGGCCAUUCUGUAUACGCUGCAGUACAUUAAAAGCUGCUUCCAGUGGGAGAGCACUCAGAGGAGCAUCACUGCCUUCCUGGUUUUUGUAUUGACGGUGUGGCACUUUGAGCUGUUCAUGUUGCCUCUCCUCCUCCUGCUGUUCAUCGGCAGGAACUAUUUCCACAUCACGCCAGGCGUGGGCAGCCACAGUCAGGACCUGGAGAGCAUCUCUGCCGCUGAGGACGAAGAUGAAGAGGAAAAGGAAUCAGAGAAAAGAGGCCUGAUGGAGAAAAUCCAUAUGGUUCAAGAAAUUGUGCUCACCGUCCAAAGCGUUCUCGAUGAAAUAGCUAGCAUCGGAGAAAGAUUAAAGAACACUUUCAACUGGUCAGUGCCAUUCUUGUCCUUCCUGGCCUGCUGUGUCCUGUUCAUUGCUACAGCUACACUCUACUUCAUCCCUUUGCGUUACAUUGUCUUGUUAUGGGGUAUUAACAAAUUUACAAAGAAGCUCCGCAACCCACAUGCCAUUGUAAACAACGAAAUAAUGGAUUUUCUCAGGAGGGUACCAUCUGAUGUUCAAAAGGUGCAGUAUAGCGAGCUGAGACCGCCUAGCAUCCAGAGUGCACAGAAGAAGAAGCGCUAGUGCUCAUGCAAGUUGUUCCGGAUGAAAGGGCGAGACAAUGGUUGAAAGUGGUCUCCUCCCUUCUGUGGGGAGGCUGCUCAGAUUCUCUCAAAUGUGUGUGUGUGUGUGUGUGUGUGUGUGUGUGAGAGAGAGAGAGAGAGAGACAGACAGAACAUUGUCACUCACUGACUUGCAGGCCAGCACAUUGGGAUGUAACUAACAGAGCAUGAUCAUGAAGAAGAAAGUAAAAGCAAAGUAACCCUGCAGCGAUCAUGCAAAACACAACAAGCAAUUCAUAAAUUGAUGAAUACAAUAAUACUAUAAAUUAAUAAGUGACACAAAAUGUGAUAUUAUAAUUUGAGGGUGACAUGGUUUUUUAAAUGAUUUUUUAAAGAAAAGAAGAUUAUACCUUAAUGUAUGACAGGCAUGGUAAAGUCUCCUCAUUUAGACUGUACAUAGCAAACAAUAUCGAAAAAUGCAAUCAGAAAUUGUGACGUGAACAGUUAUAUUUAUUAAGUGGAAGAAUGCAAAUAUGACCUUUUUAAAAAAAAAAAAAAUUACUAAUUAAUGUGUGUGGAUUAUGUGAUUUGUAUCAAUAUUUUUCAUCCCAUAUGUUUUUAUAAAAAAGUUAUCCUUUAUAAUGUUAUAAAGCUAACUAAUGGUUUGACUUCUUGAGUAUGUUAUUUUUCACUUCUCACAUCCUCAAUACUAACAUUAACUGUGAAGGAUGAAAUCUGUGUGUAAACACAGCGGCGUGCGGUGAGGUUGUGUGAUUAUCCAGCAUAUCCCUGCUUUACUGGAGGACUCUGGCCAUGACAGAACCACGGUCGCAUCAACAUAUCAAAGACCUGCAUGUGUCCAGAGCAGCGGGCUAAUGCACUGCUUUUGUUGUUCUAUCACAAUAACAAGGUCCAGAUGAGAGAGAGCUCAUCUCUCUCUUGUGCUCGCUCUCUUUCUCUUUCUCUCUCUCUCAUACACACAGACACAGACACACAGAGAGACAUAGAGAGAGUGAAUGCUCUCCAUUGCCUGCACUUAGUCUCUCCCAUUUUCAUUAAAAUCACCUCCAGUGCCUAAUGGCUCUCUAGCAGACCCAUCAGUGUGUAGUGUUGCUCUCUGUGAUGGAGCCCCAAGUACAGUAAAUGGAGCUUCUCUGCCUCAUCAACUUAUUUAUUCAUAUUAUAUACACAUUCCCUUUCUCUCCUCCAUCAGAGGGCCUUUUACAUAAAAAAAACAAAAUUUUCAAAGUGUUGCAACUCGAAUCGAACCACGGAAAGAAUUCAUAUUAUUUUUAUUGAAUGAUGAUCAUUACAUUAAUUGCAAUUAUGAGGUCUCUUUUUGGCAUGCAAAUGAAGAAUUUUGGCAUGGAUUUCAAUUCCUAUACAUCACUGGAGGAAUAUUUGUUUUGUCUUUCAGGAAAUUGGAGACAAAGAGAAACUUAAGUCAUUCUCUAUUUCCCCUUUAUAUAGCCUCGUAAAUAAUUAAAUAGACCGUUUGUAAAAAUAGCCAUGCUAGAACACGCACUGGAAAGUUUGUUCCAAAUGGAGCACUGAAUAUUUCCCCCCAACUCCUUUCUCUCCUCCACAGUUUGCUUUCUGGUGAAAGAGCAUCGCUCGGUGCAGCGUGAAGAGUUUGAUUGGCCUCGGGGGAGCCGUCAGAGCCCCAGGCUAUCUCUCUCUCUCUCUUUUUGACAGUCUGAUAGAGACAUCACAAUACUCUCCCAGGAGCUGCCACCAGGGGUCCGUUUCAGAGUGAGGGGGAGUGGAGGGCAGACAGGUGUGUGUGUGUGCGCGCAGCCCUGUGAGGGCGAGAGUUCUCUGUGUUACAGGUGCAGGCCUGACAGGCUUGGCUCCAGGAUCAGAAAGGCCAGGAUAAGAUGAAAGGAGGGAGUGGAGACCGACUGACCGUUUCGAGAACAAUGUCAUGACUUCCAAAUGGCCAUGCCAGACAAGCUCAACACACAGAUAAGAAAUUGCACAGAGACUUUCCCUCUUGUCCUCCUUUUCUUUCUGAUCCUGUUUUAUCAGUCAAGGGAAAUUUCCAAUGUUAAAGAAUGUUAAUAGGAAAAGACGAUCCUCCUUUGACACAAUAUAACAAUUUGGAAAAAAAAAAAACUGCUUGAUAAAUAUAGGAAUAGUUCCUAUUUUGCCAUAUUUUUUCAUUCUAUGCCUUCGGCUGAAUUGCCUUGUGUACCCUUGAGGAAGCACCUUGAGAGUCUUUCAGAAGCAACAGCAUUGAGAUGGAGAUAGAAACAUGGUGUAGAAAAAGGAGUGUAAAACCUUUGUUAACUAUCAAUUGUUGCCUCAAAUGGUCUGCGUUUAGCAUGCGCACACUCUGUCAGACAACAAUACUGAGUAUAAUUUAAUAGCAUAUUUCAUUUUAAUUAACAGUGAUAUAACACGGUGCGACUCGCCGCCUCCUGAGACCAGAGCACAAUAUUUGGUUUGAUGAAUCUGGCAGAGCCGCACUCAGUCCUUGCUCUUGCCCCUGGGAUUCAGGUAUCAUUAGAGACGCAUACAGAUCUGCUUUUUGUCUUGCAGAAAAAAGAGAUUAAAAAAACUGAAUUUGCCACAGUGAGUGGGUGACUGGAGAAGUGUUCCAUAUUAAUGGCCUUUCAUCAAGGACACAAUUAGGACACCUUUAUUUGACACAUUCCAUAGUAUUCGAAUGAAUAUGUAUAGUGUCCUGGAAUAAGCAACAGCCAAAAAAAGACAAUAAGCCACUGAUAUAUUUUGAAUUUCAAGACCAUUAAAACUCAUCAUGAGCCAAACUCAUAUUAAACAGCCUAGGGCAAGUAGUAUGCAAACAUGAAUUAUCAUAUGCCUAUACAGAUAUUAUACAGAAGUAAAGAAAUUUCCUCAGCCUGUUCUCUUGAAGAAAUAAGCAUACACAAAACGUGUGGUGUAUACAUACACACAACGCUCAUCAAGAAAUGGCUGAGUUUAUUUAAAUCUUUGCACAUUUAAGUAUUUAUAAAUGCAGUCAUAAUAUGCAUGUUUUAUUAUCUACUUCAUUAUGGUUAGAGAUGCCAUUGCAUUAUGUUAGUCUUCAGUCUUUGACACAUAGUUGGAGGAUCAGAGUCGUCAUCGUCUGUUGCCACUGAUAACGCAGGCAUGCCUAGGGCCUAGUUAGUUUCCAUCACUCUCAUUAACAAGGCCUGCUAAUUAUGGCCUGUGUGAACUCUCCUCAAGAUCCAAAGCAUGCCACUGCGCACAUCCUAAAUGAACAUACCAGUGAUUCGUGGAAAGAUCUAAUUGCAUGAAAAAGCUCCAGACUCAGAUUAAUUAGAUAUGGUCGUGCAGUGUAACCACUUUGCUCUAUGAUCAUGGUUUAAAGCACCCGGUGGCGGCAAAUGCUAAAGCACUGUUUGUUUUACUUGUGAGUCUGCAAUGUCAGCCACCAGGGUCCAAUUAGCCAGUGACUGAAGCCUGCAUUAGAUCCUCCUCUUUAGCUUUGACAGCACUGAGAGGCCCACGUGGUCAUGUCCCCGUACUGACUGCUGUGCUACAAACUCAACUCAAAUGUAACACAAACUCAUAUGAGAGGAUGACAGGCAGAGCAGUGUGUUCCCUUUUUAUGUUGUUGCUUUUUUUUUGCAUUAUGUUUUGAUUCCUGAAUCUGAUAUAAUAAAGAAUAGAUCAAUCCUGACAAAUCUCUUAACACCAAUCUACAAGGCAAAUUUAGCCACGCUUUUUGAGCACAGUUUACAGUGUGAAACACAUCAACCAAUCAUCAGUCUGUUUCACUCCAAACAUCAACAUUUGUAUAAUGAUUUUAGAAAAAAAUUAAGAAACAUCCAUUUAACAUCUCUCAACAUAAUUAAAAGCAGUGAUAUUCCUCAUCUUUGGUAAAAUGCACAUAUAUAAUAAAACAUUAACCAUUUUGGCAAAAAUUAUACAGUUCCAGUUACCACAGGCUACACACUACGAAUAGUCUUAAAACUCCACCAUGUCAAGUUAAGACAUAACACAUAUUCCUGCACAAAGCAAGAAUAGUGGAAUGUCCACGGGUCUUUAGGCAGCCAGCAAGAGACCAAUUAGCAAGUACUUUGAGUGUGAAGGAGAGGUGUGUGUGCGAAGGAGGGGGUAGGCUGAUGAUGAUGGCAGGAGGAGGAGGAGGAGGAGUCUGGGUGUCAGACACACAGAGAAACAAAGGCAUCAUCUUUCCAUGCAUGCCCUCCUCGCCCCUCUCCUGCACUGCACCAAUUACUGUCUGUUCAGUUUGGGUAUCAGUAUGCAGGCGGCCUCGCUUUCUCCGGCUCUCGCCUCAGGCCAUUGAAUAUGUUAGCGCCGCUGUGGGGCUCCGGGCUUCAGGGCACUGCACCCCCUAACCCUCUGGAUAAUUUGGGAUUCCUUCCCCCAAGCUAAAGGAAAGACAGAGAGAGAGAGUGAACAUAAAGCCACAUACAAAUCAAGAAAUAAGGCCUAACCAGCCGUCUACCCUGGGAUCCACUGAUUUAUUGAUUUGUUCCAUUUUUCAUUUGAUGUUAUUUGUAAAUUGAGCUUCAUAUGGUCCUCCAUGGCUUCAACUUUUAACUAACACAGCUGACACAGGUAGACACUGGAUAAUAACUAUCCUCUAAAGUGUGCUCUAUGGAUUAAGAAGGAAAAAAUGUCUUCCUUAAAGUCGGAACAGCUGAAUAACUGAUUUAAGCUAAAAUGGCAUUGCAUGGAGCAAUGUCAUGAGGACAUUUAGAAUUCUCUGUAGCAACUCGUAAAUGAGACUUCAUCCAGUAAAACCCAGAAAAUUUCCAACUUCCAACCAGAAGUUAUCGUUUUAAUAAAUGGCAGUAAGGCGGAAUCAGAUUUUCAUGUUCUUGAUAUGAAAGUCUAACGUCCGAAACGUGUCUCUUAAUUACUGAGGUACUAUUUGAUUAGGGAUCUGUAGUAAUCCAUUAAAUCAUAUCAUGUGAUGUGAUUAUCAUUGGCACACUAUGCAAGAAAAACACUAUCACAGCAUUAACAUGAUUUCAUAGCUUUAUCCUCAUCAAUGGAUUGCCAUCCAAACAUAUUCAUGGCUUUUGCCACCAGACCAGACUUUUUGUCACCAGACAAGAUUUUCCACUUCAGUUUGCUGAUUUCCACCUGAGCAAUGGCUCAAAGAAGAGCAAAAAAGGAAGAAAAGAAUGAAACAGCUUUGUGCUCACUCUCAGAUGUACAAAUGUGCCCAAAACAUUUAUUUAUGAGCUGCUGACAUUAAUGUCUCUUCAAUAUGCCUCUGUUUCCCCCAAGUCAGCUGGAGUAACUGAUUAUUACAUUAAUUAAUGUAGCGGUGAAUCAAUUAUCAAAAGUGGAAAUAACUAGCCACAAGAAAAGUAAAGGUAGACACUGACUGCAAUAAAACCAAGUGCUCUUGCUCUAAUGCUGUUACUUCAGUUUUUUAGAUUCUUGUCUGGCAAACUAAGAAAGUCUCAAAUCAGGUUUUCUUCAUCACAGUUAAUUGAUGCGAUAAUGUGAGAUGAGAUAAUAUGCACCAUAUGAGUAGAUGUCUCACAUGAUGUGAUUUGUAAUGGCACGCUAUACAUAAAAACAGUUUAAAAUAAACUCUCUGGUAUGAAAAUGUCUCAAUUUCAUACCUAUACUUUCACAAAUGUAAUAAUAGAUGCCAGGCAGGUGGCAUACAGUAAUAAUCUUUCAGUGCACAAUUCUUACCAAGGAACAAUUUCUUUAUUUCACUUUUCAGCAACAACUGCUCUUGGAAGCAAUCAUAACCUGUGCAAAAUUUCUGCAUGUGCAGUUUUAAAGUUUGAGUCCUGCUAAAUCUCUUUCAGCCAAGUCACUACAAAUUAUGGCAAAUUUGUACAAUAUGUAAGCUUGCUAGGGAAUAAAAUGUGUAUAACAAAGUAAUGACGCAUACUUUAGGCAGAAGUGCAAUUCUGCUUACCCAUGUGGUUCCGACAUAUUAUAUCUGGAUGUCUCGGACAGCAUUCACACUUCUAUUAUGCUAAUUUGCUUUGUAAAUAUAUCAGAAAAUAAUAUGGUUUUCAGACAUGUGAGCUGUGUUAGUCUGAGAUUUUAGGCUUUCCUCUUUACUGGGGCACCUGCUACACAGAGCUUGGCUCUUAAUCACUCUCAUCUGCACCCCCCCCCCCCCCCCCCCCCCCGCUGCUUCUAUAACUUGGACUUACUUUAGAAAGCAGAUCUGCUUGUCAAAUCCACUCACACUUCUUUCUAAUUCAGCCCAGAUGUGACGUUUCCCUGCUUUUCCUCUCUCGCUCUAUCCCUGCCUCUCUCCCCCACCUGCUUGGUGACCUGUGGACCCCAUGCCCAGGCUCUCAUUUGAUUCGCCGUCUUCUGAGUGAAAGGGCCGUUCUUUAGCUCACUGUGUUUCUUCUUUCUUCCUUCGCGUUGCCUGUAGGGCCUGUGUUGAAAGUGUGUGCAGAAAAAGCGCCAUCCCGGUCACCCACUUUUGUUGCGCCAUCAACGUCUCAAUCAGAAGCUCUGUGCCUGUGGCCUCUGAAUAAGCCACCUCCCAUGUAGAUGGCUGAGGACCAAGGAUUCAUGCAAGCAUGGCCUGAAGACUCUCUGACUGUGGUCCUUACAUUCACAUUCUCACAUUCUCUGAUCACACACAAACACACUGCAGUGCCUGCCAGCACUUUUCAGUAUGGUUUCUCAAUAGACAAACUGCAAGCUUAAAAAUUUUACAUAAUGAUAGAAGGAAAUUUUAGCUUAAUCAUGUUGGUCUGAUGGAACCUCAGCAUCAGGCCUGAGUGCAUAAUCUGGUACUUUGCGUUAGUUGUUUCAUUUUUUCUUUUUUUCUUCUCCCUUGCUUAAUUAUGGCAAUGCACAUGGCCAGGGCCUGAGCAGGUGCCUCUUACCCACAGUGCCAUGCUGACAAGAACUGUCAGUCAAAGCUAAAGAGCUCUUGCCGCUUCCCUUUCGUCAGUUUAGAACCGCACGCAAUUUGAGAAAGCCAAGGCUUAAGCAUGUAGGCAAGCAGCCCCAGACUGUCAGAGGGAAUUAAAAGCAUGUGUGUGGUUUGCCUAGCUAUCUGCGAGGUGCUUGUGGGAAGCUUGCUUGCUCUUUGCUCACGAUAAAGACUCCUACUUUGGGGACCCGCUGUGGUUAAGGCCCUGGCUGAUAGGAGCUGGCUUGGUUGUUAUUACAAUUAUCACUCAAAUUACCAGCAUCAUUACAGUUGCAGGCUGAUUCCUUCUCUGCAAGGGGGUUAGGCAAAAAAAAUUAAGGACGGGAUAAAAAAGAUUACUUUUUUUUUUUAAAUUUCUGUAGCCAAAAUCACCUGACAGCCUAUAUGCAUAUGAAAAACAUGAACAUAAUUGGGGCAUGGUGAUGCUUCUUUCAAGCUUCUGUGAACCACUUGUCCUUCUCAUCAACCCAUCUUUGUUUACCACUUCAGCAUACAAAUGCCAGUCAGUGAGAAGCAAGUAAUAGAAUUAAUGAAAGCACAUCUCUAUACUGUUCACACCCUCUCCUCUAUAUGUUGCACACAAGCCAGUUUGAUGGACAGAAUUAUGCAUGCUAAUGGAACGGUCCUGGCGCAGUCUCUGAGGAGCACAGAAAGAGACGCCCCCGUUGUUAUUCUUAUACCUGACCUGGAGGGCAUUGUCAAGCGGCGCAGAAACAGCUGGCCUUAAAAAGGAGUGCAUAAUCAACUAAAACAAUCAAAGAUAGGCACGUUGGUGUGGCGAUGCAGGUCCCUGAUCAGGCUGCUAGGGCUGGGGGAGAGGCGCCUGCUGCCAUGCCUGUGAAAACACAAGAAAGAGUGGGAAAGCGGGUCAGCGAGUCAGGGUUAUUAAACUCUACUGUGCUAUUGAGUGCCACUGAUAGGAGAAGACUGUGCACUAUUAGAGAGAAAAAAGGUAGAAGAGAAAACAUCGGAAAUCACUUCAAAUAUCUGACCACUGUCAAAUAAGAAAUAAACAUUACUUUGUAUUUGUGUAUAUUCAUGAUUUUUUGUACUACUUAUUUUCAUGUAAUUUGAUUCAUUUUGUUGUGAAUAUGAAUAUUACUGGGUAGUUAGAAUAAGUAUAUGGUCAAAAAGUAAAUAUCCAGGAAUUAAAUGCUAAAUACCACUAGACAAUAUCUGUCAACAUCUGCAUCUUUUUAAAUGACAAAUCUCACUGACAAAAAUUAUAUGCAUAUGCUGAUCCUGGUUAAUGUAACACUGGGUCUGAAACAAUUAAACAGAUUAAAUAUUUUGUAUUCCAUUAACCUUUAGAUUUAAAGAAAAAUAUUUCCUGCUUUUUACCUAUUACUGUUGUGUUUGCUCUAAUUUUGUUCAUACACGCUGAUAUUAAAAGAACACACAGAUGCACACACAUGAGGAUAUAAACAUUGAGGUUGCGGUCACAUGGGACAGAAUUGGCUCUACAGGUUAUUAUACCCACAGAAAAAUAAAGCACUUUUUUGCUCCUGUAUACUCCAUUUAUUUACUGAGAAAUCCACAGCUCUCACAAACUUAAUUCCAAUGUGUAUACCGGCGAUAUUUAUAUCCAGAAAUAUACAAGUGCAUUUUUUAUUGCACCACGAUGUAGGAAAAGAUGUAGAAUUUAGAGCAAAAAAAAAAAAAAAAAGAUUUGAUAAAACCAUCAAAAGCUGGACAGUUUCUUUGAUAGCUGGACAGCUGGGCAUGAGCCAUGGGGAAGAAGGCUGGGGUGAUCUAAAAUAGAUGACUACAUAAAGGAAAGAGUGGUAGUGGAACAGUAGUGAGAAGAUGUGUGUAGGUGGCCUGGCCAAGGCUUCCUUGCAGCAACUGCUCAGACCGUGGGAGGAGAAGGCUCUGGAAACAUACUUCGGCCCCCUUCUCGUCCUUUCUGUCUGUGUCCUCUAGCUACAACAACAUGUUUGGUCUUUUUGAAAACUUGUUUCUGGGCUGAGGAGCUGACCACAUCUUUGGAAGACCUCACAAGAUAAAUAACUGAAUUCUCAGUAGUCCUCAGUUUUCCAAAGCUGUUCUCUCUUAGUAAUCUAUUUAUUUGCCUGAUAUUCAGGGGCCAAUGGAAAUGCACUUUCAACGAGCAGUACACUUGGAGAACAUUUAUUAUAAUAAAUGCAGUUUUCCCUUUGGUUAUUCAGUAUAAUACAUUAUUUUGUAUUUACACACCAGUGCCAUAUAGUCAGAACAUCAGAAGCUGACAUCAUUAACUGCUAGUUUCUCUAUUUUAUCCCCCACUUUAAUGAUGGAAGUCACAGCUAAAAUAUUUGUAAAUAUCUGGUUGACCUAUCAAUAAUCUUUGUCCUAAAUAACUCCAGUAACUUAGAGUUGAUGUCUAACAUCAGUAGGUGGCAGUGUGGCACCACAUAAAGCAAGAACAUGGCUCACUUUGCGGAGGAAGGUACGAGCCUGUUCCUCAUAUUUAAUUAGACGGAAACAGACACUUCCAUGUUCACUCUUCAGCUGAUAGCUCUACUUUUUUCACUUCUCUUCUGGUAACUUUUAAAGUAGUAAAAAAUAAAUAAAUAAAUAAAUAAAAGUGGCAUUCAGUGUGGCAAAUCAUGGGCCAAGAUGAAGGGUUUAAACCUCUCUGAAAAAAAAAUAAAUUUAAAAAACAAAAACGUAAGGGCUAAUUUAUGUAAUUAUGACCAGAAGACUUAUAUAUGAAAUAUGCAGGGAUUGUUUGAAAAUAAAUAAAUAAAUUAAAACGAAAUUAGAUAGAAACUGGCAUAAAAUGCAACAUACAUGGCUGACAUCUCCUAAACAACUGAUCGUGAACUUCUCACUCAAUGAUUCAAAUGGUUUAUCCAGUACAAUUGUGGAAUUUCUACACAGCAUGAAAGGAAACAGCUGGGAUGCCAUGCUAUACUAAACUAAAUGGAGCCUUGUUCACGUGGUGCAUGUAAGCUAAACAACGCACUGCGGAUAUGAGACUGAGAAAUGGAGAGAAAGAAAACCCAGUGAACGUGUGACUCUGAAGCUUGGUGUUACAAUAACCCACGCAAUUCUUAUUAAAGGCAUAAAGCCCCUGCAUGCAAAUUAAUAACUAGCCUGUGAAGGGCUAGCUAAUGAACUCAGACCAUAUACAACACACACACACACACACACACACACACACACACAAUAUCACCUUUUUUAAACAUUUUUUUUUUUAAAGGUGAACUAAAAACAGCCUGCUUUUUAUCCAUAGUAAAAGCCUGAGUCAGAUUUGCUUACUUUCAGCCUUUUAUUUUGUUCAGAUGGUCAGAAGGGAUAAGCAGACAGGACUGGGACACAGCCUUCUCUUUUUACAUUAAUUACAGAAAGGAUCAAUUAACAGUGAUGAAACCCAUGGCGGCAUACUGACUAGCUGAUAGUCCAAUCAAGCCUUGAAAUGCAGAGCAGUCGGCAUGUCUGACGUUCCUCUCUCUUUUUUAUCUCUCCAAACUUAAUUGCAAUUUUCCAGAGUAGAAUGACGUUAUGGAAACGACUGGACCGAAUUAGCAUCAUAUGAAUAAGUAUGUACAUGCUAUUGGCAAAACAUUUGUCUGUUUUCAUUUGUGAUUUGAGCAUUAGAGUGUGUCCUGUGCUGUAUUUGGUGCAUGCAAAGGGAAAUAUUAUGUGAGACGAGUAUGGCCUCUUCAUUUCUUCAGCUAUUCUUCCUCCCGCUUUUACGUCUUUAUGCCCACCUUUAUCAUGGAAAUUUGGAACAGAAGCUAUUAGCAACAUGAACGGUAGCUUUUGCUGAGUUGCCAAACAUCUUGGACGAAGACAAUUUGUGUCUUGCAGUCCAAUCAUGGGCUUCAUAAUACAGAGAAUAUAUUUGCAUGUUAUGGCUUCAUAUUUAUUAUAUUUUAUUAUACAGUAAAAACAAGCAUCUUUACUUCAUUAAAAAGAAUUAAAGGUGAUUUAAAAAAAUAAUCACACAAGUCUGUUUCAGCACAUGGCAUUGAAAAACUGUAUAUAUAAUUGGAAUGUUAAAAAUCAUGUGUUUCAUUUAUAUAGUUGCAGGCAAUCAUUUUAUUUAUUAGAUACAAUAUCAAAUUGCUGCAUAAAAACUGUCAGCAUUUGGCCUUUGAUAUACCAGGAACCAAGGUGCUACUAUAUAUAAUCAAGAUCAGCUCUUGUCAUCUCGAGUGGAGGAGAUCAGUGUGACAGCAUACGCUGCUGUGUUCUGCAGGACAUGUAGCCAUAUUUGCUUGUUUUUAAUAAUUCAUCCAGUUAUUUUAACUAUAUUAGCAAAGAUUAAACACAGCGGCGUUGCUCAUUACUUUGGGAAAACAGCCCGGCAAAAGCUCAUUUCCUGUCGAGGGAAACUGACUAACCCCCGAUUGACCUUCUGAUAUUUCUAUUACCAUGGCCCCAUGUUUAAGGCAAGCCUUAGAAAUCCAGCUCCAGCACCAUAAACAUGAAUGACAAGAUGAGCUUUUUAAAUGUUUUCCUGUUUAGAUUCCAAAACUAACCAAGGAGAUCUUAUGAUACAUUUUUAUAUGAGAAAUUGUAUAAAUACAAAAUACAAAGUAAUAAACUGGUUUGCUUUUCAGUUAUAUUUGUGAUUAUUCUCAUCAUACACACAUAUAUACUCAACCCUUGGUUUAAAUUCUGAAAACAAAACAUUUCAGUCAUUUGUCAACCAACAAGAACAUGUUCAAAUCCAUAAGCCAGUUCCAAUUGGGUUGUUUC